GGGGCCGGGGGCUCGGAUGUCAGAUAGUGGCGAAAGGGUGAGUAAUGCUUAGAUAACCUACCCUCAAGAUUGGAAUAACGGUUGGAAACGACCGCUAAUACCUGAUAUGGUCAAUCGGGCGCAUGUUCGGAUGAUCAAAGGAGGGUUAAUCUUUCCUUCCACUUGAGGAGGGGUCUAAGUCCUAUUAGCUUGUUGGUAGGGUAAUGGCUUACCAAGGCUACGAUGGGUACGGGGCCUGAGAGGGUGUUCCCGCACACUGGGACUGAGACACUGCCCAGACUCCUACGGGAGGCUGCAGUCGAGAAUCUCUUGCAAUGGGCGAAAGCCUGACAAUGCGACGCCGCGUGGAGGAUGAAGGCCUUCGGGUUGUAAACUCCUGUCAGAGGUUAUGAAAUGUUGUGGUGUUAAUACCACCAUAACUUGACGAAAGCUUCAGAGGAAGCUCCGGCUAACUCCGUGCCAGCAGCCGCGGUAAUACGGAGGGAGCAAGCGUUGUUCGGAAUUACUGGGCAUAAAGGGUGUGUAGGCGGUGUGGAAAGUGGGUGGUGAAAUCCUUCGGCUUAACCGAAGAACUGCAGUCCAAACUUCUACACUUGAGUAGGGAAGGGGAGAGUGGAACUCUUGGUGGAGCGGUGAAAUGCGUAGAUAUCAAGAGGAACACCGGUGGCGAAGGCGACUCUCUGGUCUCUAACUGACGCUGAGGCACGAAAGCUAGGGGAGCAAACAGGAUUAGAUACCCUGGUAGUCCUAGCCGUAAACGAUGGGCACUAAGUAGAGGGGGUUCUCAUGCCUUUUCUGCUGAAGCUAAUGUGUUAAGUGCCCCGCCUGGGGAGUAUGGUCGCAAGGCUAAAACUCAAAGGAAUUGACGGGGGCUCGCACAAGCGGUGGAGUAUGUGGUUUAAUUCGAGGCUACGCGAAGAACCUUACCUGGGUUUGACAUGAUAGAAGUAGGAACCCGAAAGGGUAACGACCGGUAUCCAGUCCGGACUAUCACAGGUGCUGCAUGGCUGUCGUCAGCUCGUGUCGUGAGGUGUUGGGUAGUCCCAUACGAGCGAAACCCUGUCCUAGUGCUACCAGUAUCUGGCACUCUAGAGACUGCCGUGUAAUCGAGGAAGGUGGGACGACGUCAGUCAUCAUGCCUACGUCAGGGCGCACCACGUACUUACAUGUCGUUCACGAGCGGAUCUGCGAGUGACAACCCUUAAACCGAUCAGUCGGAAUGCAACGGGUGCAACUCCCCCUCGGGUGGAGAC
rnacentral:rRNA from 1 species